rnacentral:rRNA from 1 species
AACCUCCGCAAUGUGAGAAAUCGCGACGGGGGGAUCCCAAGUGCCAUUCUUAACGGGAUGGCUUUUCAUUAGUGUAAAGAGCUUUUGGAAUAAGAGCUGGGCAAGACCGGUGCCAGCCGCCGCGGUAACACCGGCAGCUCUAGUGGUAACAAUUUUUAUUGGGCCUAAAGCGUCCGUAGCCGGUUUAAUAAGUCUCUGGUGAAAUCCUGUAGCUUAACUGUGGGAAUUGCUGGAGAUACUAUUAGACUUGAGACCGGGAGAGGUUAGAGGUACUCCCAGGGUAGAGGUGAAAUUCUGUAAUCCUGGGAGGACCGCCUGUUGCGAAGGCGUCUAACUGGAACGGUUCUGACGGUGAGGGACGAAAGUUAGGGGCGCGAAACCGGAUUAGAUACCCGGGUAGUCCUAACUGUAAACGAUGCGGACUUGGUGUUGGGGUGGCUUUGAGCUGCUCCAGUGCCGAAGGGAAGCUGUUAAGUCCGCCGCCUGGGAAGUACGGUCGCAAGACUGAAACUUAAAGGAAUU